AAAUGAAUUGACGGGGGCCCGCACAAGCAGUGGAGUAUGUGGUUUAAUUCGAAGCAACGCGAAGAACCUUACCAGGGCUUGACAUCCCCUGACAGCUGUAGAAAUACAGACUCUCUUCGGAGCAGGGAGACAGGUGGUGCAUGGUUGUCGUCAGCUCGUGUCGUGAGAUGUUGGGUUAAGUCCCGCAACGAGCGCAACCCUUGUUGUUAGUUGCCAGCAGUAAGAUGGGCACUCUAACGAGACUGCCGGUGAUAAAUCGGAGGAAGGUGGGGACGACGUCAAAUCAUCAUGCCCCUUAUGUUCUGGGCUACACACGUACUACAAUGGCUACUACAGAGGGAAGCAAUACCGCGAGGAGGAGCAAAUCCCCAAAAGUAGUCUCAGUUCAGAUUGCAGGCUGAAACUCGCCUGCAUGAAGUCGGAAUUGCUAGUAAUGGCAGGUCAGCAUACUGCCGUGAAUACGUUCCCGGGCCUUGUACACACCGCCCGU
rnacentral:rRNA from 1 species